UGCUGAGCUGGCUUCCCAGUCCCCUCCUCCUGCUCCCGCCGCUCCAGCCUGGGGAUCUGCCUCGGAGAUACUGGGAGACUCGGAUCUUUAACACCUUGGGCAUCUGUGGUCCAAGCCCAGCUACGGGAAUCUGUUUGAGUCAAAUGCCCCAAGAAUUAGCCAGGAUGAGUAUCAAGAGCUGAGAAAUACUUGGCCUGGAAAUUGGAGGCGGCAGAGACGGGGCAGGGCUCUGCAUUACUCUGGGAAAGGGAGGCAGAGCUAGGGACUCUGCAGCCUGGAUCUAGUCUGAGCCCAAGAGUCAUCUGCUAAGAGCUACAGAGACAGAGGGAGUGGCAUGGGGGCACUGGCACACAUCCUCCAUAGGCUAUCCUGGUCCUAACACCCAGCAACAUAGCUAAGUAUUGUCUCUCCUACCCAAGGUGGUCUAGGAUUCUGCCCCUCGCACGCAAGUGCUGGACAAAGGAUGGCUUAUUCUAUCUUCUGCACCUGGAAUCCUGCCUUCAUUGAAUCAACCUUUGGUCUCCUAAAGCUAUCUCCCUCACAGAAGUAACCCCCAAGAAGUUCAUGGUGGGGCGGGGGCUGGGGCGAGGGGAGGCAGCCUGUGUGCCCUGGGUCUAGUGAGAACUCUGCCUCCGAUUCCUCCCGGGCAGACUGGGGAACAUUUAGCAAAGUCACUGCCUGGCUCCUGGCCCUGGUAUCCUGGGGUCAGAAACCCUGUGCAGUUCAUGUCAAAUGUCCCUCACCCUUGUCGAUCUGUUAUUUCAGUUUUGCUGAACACCUCUUCCCUGAGCUAAGCUUCACCUCACUGGAGACCUUGGUCCUCAAAGGGACAACCUGUUCAUUUCACCUUAACAAACCGGGAGGCUCCCAGCCACUGACCUCAGGCAUGAAGAUGUUCCAGGCACAUCAGGUAGAUUUGAGACAUGGAGUCCAGUCCUGGAGUAACAGAUUACAGCUCUCUGUUCCAUGAUAUUGGGAGUCAGGACAAGGACUUGCUGACGCCAGAAGUGAGCCGAGUAUAAAUCGUGAAUGGUAAUUCACAGUUGGAGUUCAAGGUCACCACCAAGUUAAGGUCUGCACAGACGGGUAGGAGGGCGCCAUCUUCUGGAGGGAGCCAGCGCGAGGCCCUGCACCCAGUACCAGAACCCCGGCAGGCAGUCCAAGCCUGGCUGGGGAGCAGAGUUUAUUCCUCCAAACCUCAGCACCCCCAGAAAGUGGGCAGAGAUCCAGGGCCCACGCCGUGGAACCCUAGAAAGGAGUCGAGCAUAUCCAAACAGGGCCAGAGUCUAGUCCAGCCGAGUAAGGCCGAGUACAGCCGAACAGAGACUUUUUUUUCCGAGCCUAAACGAACAGAGUCGGGUCCAACCGGGUGGUUCCGAUUAUGGCCGAAUCAAGCCGAAUCUGAGCGAAGAGGAAGAGCUGGUGCUCUGAGGUCCAGCGGCGCCCCCUGGCGGACUUAGAAAGCACUGGGCUGACCUGAGUGGGAGUCAUUGGAUCACCUUGCAGUCCAAUCAAUGAUAGUCCUACAAGAUGGGGUUGUGAGGUGUACUUCAGGAAUGAGGAAACUGAGGCUCCACCAGGGCCCGAGACUGGCUCACAGGCACUCUGAGCUAGGAAGUGAACCAUCUGGGGUUCCCCUGAUUGCGUGUGGCCAAGAACACCCGUGCCACUGCCCACAUGUAAGUCAGGUCGUGUUUGUCCAUUUAUUACAGCCAGUGCCUACAGAGACCUCCCUGGUAGAGAGUGGACAGAGCUCAGACACAGAUGGAGAAACCAAACAGGCUCUGGAGGUGUUGACCGAGGGCGGUGGGGCGGCAGUUCCCAUGAGCAAAUAUUGACACAUUUCCUGACCGUUAAAGCAGAAAGUCCGACUGAAAAAGGACGUUCUGUCCCUUCUCUGCAAAGCUUUGAAACCUCCUGCCCUGACCCCACGCCUCAGUCUCCUCACCUGAAACAAGAUAUUAAUAAAGAAUGUGGCUAGGA